CUGGGAUGGAGACGGAUCGUCCGCGGCCGGGCACGAAGGGGAGCCCCGGAGGGAGGCCGCCUCAAAGGGCCCUUCGGGGCGCUGGGCCGCGGGAGGAGGCCUCGCUUUGCAGGGGCGCCCCGAGCUUUCCCAUGCAUUUGUGCUUAAUCACUUUGAAGGAAGAUUUUGAUUUGCAAAUCAUCUCUUGGACAGUAUCUCCAAAAUCAAAAAGGCCAAAGGAACAUCUAUUAAGUACACAUUUUAGUUUUUUCCAAUUUUGCUCCAAGUAAGAGCUCAAAUGUAUCUGUGUAGUCACGUGUAUUAUGUACACAUGCCAGUUUUCAUGUGUGAAAAGGGAUUUUUGCAAUUGCCGAUGUAUUUCAAAAUCUUUACAAUAUGUAAUACUUCACAGAUGUAUUACUCAGUACAGUGUCCAUUAAAAUAAGCAAUAACAUUUUAGCAAUACGUUUCAGAUUCCUAGUUGGUUUGAAAAGGGUUAUUUGGACAUGUCAUGCAUGUCUGAAUCUGUCUAAAUCUAAAUCGGGGGGGGGGAGUUAAGUGAGUUUUAUUAGCCUCUUUGUUCCAAUUCUGAUUUCAACCUCCCCUUUUCCUGAAAUAUGAUUAAAAUUGCUUUGAAUAGUGUAAUUGCAACAAUGAAGUUCCACCUAUGUCCCAGAAAAUUAUUCUGAAGCAGCUACUUAUCCCAUGUUUGUGUUGUACAACAAGAAAGAUCAAAUAUUUAGUAUGAUUUGAAAAAAAAAAUCAGGAUGCCUUUGAAUCAGUGACACCUGGGGACUACGGGGAAAUGUCCAUAUGGUUCUAUUGGUAGCCACUUUAGAAGCCCUUCUUUUUAGGACUAAGACAGAACUGGUCCAAAGAUACCCAAAGGAUUAUUAGGAAGGAGCAGGACUCGGUUUUCCUACUCCUAGUCCAGCAGCUUAGCCAACAGACCAAACUGCCAUGUCACUGUUUCCCAGCACAAGAUGAUAUUUUGUUAUGAUUUGUUCAACAAUUUUUUUAGAGUAGGUUAAAAAAAAAGAUUAUUCUGCAGCUUUCAUCUCAAGCUAUCCCUUAGAAUGUGAAUCAUACUGGUUGCAAUCAUUCAGUAACCCAGUUCUGAAAUUGUCUUACUCUACUACCUGUAGGAGGAGAGGCAGAGCCUGGGGAUGGAGUCAAGAGAGGAAUCUGCCUGGAAUCGUUACUUUCUCACAAGUGGUCUAAGUCCAGCCCUCCUUGAAUUCCAUUAAUUCUUAUCUAGCGCCAAUGUAGUGCUGACCGUUGACUACAUUUUUGUGCAUAUGCAUGAGCAAUAAAUCAGUUUGGCUGGAA